rnacentral:rRNA from 1 species
AUUGAACGCUGGCGGCAGGCCUAACACAUGCAAGUCGAACGGUAACAGGAAGAAGCUUGCUUCUUUGCUGACGAGUGGCGGACGGGUGAGUAAUGUCUGGGAAACUGCCUGAUGGAGGGGGAUAACUACUGGAAACGGUAGCUAAUACCGCAUAACGUCGCAAGACCAAAGAGGGGGACCUUCGGGCCUCUUGCCAUCGGAUGUGCCCAGAUGGGAUUAGCUAGUAGGUGGGGUAACGGCUCACCUAGGCGACGAUCCCUUGCUGGUCUGAGAGGAUGACCAGCCACACUGGAACUGAGACACGGUCCAGACUCCUACGGGAGGCAGCAGUGGGGAAUAUUGCACAAUGGGCGCAAGCCUGAUGCAGCCAUGCCGCGUGUAUGAAGAAGGCCUUCGGGUUGUAAAGUACUUUCAGCGGGGAGGAAGGGAGUAAAGUUAAUACCUUUGCUCAUUGACGUUACCCGCAGAAGAAGCACCGGCUAACUCCGUG